AAGAAAAAGAAAAUAUGUGAAUAUGUAUAACAUAUUCAUUAUAUUCUCAUAUAUAUGUAUGGAACAUAUACACAUAUAAUUAUAUUCAUAGACUUAUUUCACCAUUAUCCAGUGUAGUCUAUUUCCAUGGUAAAUAAAUCCUGAUUUCAAAAAGGGGACACUAUAUAUACCCUUUGUGGAGUAUGAAUUUCAAAAUGCAGAAAUCAAAAUCUACCUUUUAUAUAUCACCUUAAAGUGUGCAGGUCACUUUACAGAGGUUAUUUCACUUGUCUCACCACAACUCUAUGAGGCAGGUAUUAUUAUUUUCCCCAUUUAAUAGGUGUGGAAAUUGAGGGGGGGGGAGAACAAGUUACUUCUACUGGGUCACCAAGCUAGUAAGUAACAGGUUUUGAAUUCACAAUUUCCUGAUUCUGUCACGAUCCAUCCUGCUUGCCAUGUCCCAGAAUGCUUCUCUCUAAUCUGCCUCUAAAAAUACUGUCCUCCCUAGUGGCUUACCUUUUUGACCCAUAUGAUUUAAUUACAGAAUUGUGGUUUCUGGAGUGGGUUGUCAAAGCUGAAUUCAUACUUCUGAUAUACAGUUGGCCUUUCAGAAUUGGCAAAGACCUUGCAAAAAUCAUAUUCUCUACUAGUACACCCUUGUAACCCAUAUUCUGAGUUGUGGACUAUUUUAAGUGAAAUAAACUAGCAUUGGGGGAUGACUAAAAGUUAAUGGAUUUUGGUUUGAAAACGUGCAUUUGCUUCAUAAGUUACAUUUGAGCUUAAAAAAAAAAAAAAAAAGAAAAGCCACAUGACUGUUGUUAUGUCCUUGGGACUUUUACAAUUCUACUGCUUUUGAUGGGAAGUGCAUUUAAAGGAAGCACCCCAGCCAUUGGCUGUUAUGCCCUUUCCCCCUCCACUCCAUAAGCUUCACCCAAGAUGGGACAGUCAUGAUUAGGCUGUGAUCAUCCUGGAAAGACAUAGCUACAUCAGUCCAUUGGAGUAAUUUCCAGGCCUAAACACUAGAUUGCCCAUAGUUUGUCACUCCUGUGAUAGAAUCAUUGGGAGCACAAUUUUGAGACAAAUAAGGUCUUCAGAUUUAGUCUGGGGCCUGUCCAGGAUCUUUCCCCUGCCCUGGAUCUCCCUAUAAGUAGUAGAUCUCUGUUCUCAGAACUUAGCAGAAAUAAUAUCACAGCCCAUCUGCCUGUCUUAUAACUAUUGUAAUUAGGAGGUUUAUCCUUCUAGUAACUAAGCCUUUAUAUUUUUAGUCUUCAAUGAAUGCUCUCUUCUAUCAUUUUUUUGUUUGUUUUGUUUGCCUUUUAUUUAUUUAUUUUAUUAGUAUUGUUUUUACUAAUAUUUUAUUUUCUCCCUCAAUUAUAUGGUGUUUUUUAAUUCAUGAGGUUUUAAAAAAAAUUGAGUUUCAAAUUCCAUCCUUCCCCACCUCCUCUUCCCCCUCCCUGAGAUGGUAAACAGUAUGAUAUAGAUUAUACGUGUACAUUCAUAGAAAACAUUUCUGUAUUAGUCACUUUAUACUAGAAGACUCAAACAAAAAAGUAAGAAAGGAAGUGAGAAAUACUAUGCUUUGAUUUGUAUUCAGACAAUAUCAGUUCUUUCUCUGGAAGCAUUUUUCAUCAUGAGUCAAAAAAUUAAUUUUGAUUAUAUAAAAUUAUAUUUUUAUAAUAUAUAAAUAUUUUCCUUCCUUCCUAAAGAUAAAAAAUAUAUAAAAUAUUAAAUAAAGCACACUUAGCUACAGAAACAAAAACCAAUGUAGUGAAAAUGAGAAGCAAAGCAAAAAACUUGGAGGAAAAGGGUUUGAGGCAAGUGUCUCUGAGAAAGACCUCAUUUCUAAAAUUUAUAGAGAACUGAGUCAAAUUUAUAAGGAUACAAAUCAUGCGUUGAUAAAUGGUUAAGGGAUAUGAAGAGACAGUGUUUUGACAAACAAAUCAAUACUAUGUAUAAUCAUAUGAAAGAUACUCUAAAUCCCUUUUGAUUAGAGAAAUGCAAAAACUCUGGGCUAUCAUCUUAUACGUAUCAGAUUGGCUAAUAUGACAAAAAAAGGAAAAUCAUAAACAUUGGAGUGGAUAUGGGGGAUGUGGAGAAAAUGAGACAGCAGUGCAUUGUUGAUGGAAUUGUGAACUAUUCUAUUCUGCUCAACGUGUAUAUAUCCUGUCCACUACCUUUGCCCUGGAACUUGGUCACAUUCCCAGUCAAUCUUAUUGUUCUUAUUUAAUAAAAUUAAUAUUAGUUAAUAACAUCAAUUCAUGUUAAAUCUAAUUAUUGAUACCAAAUGCUCCUAAUAAUAUUGAAUAAAAUGACUGUGAAUUGAUAUAUUUAAUGAUAAUAUUAAAUAAUAAAAAAUAGACUGCUAUUUUUAUAGUGCCUUUAUGGUUUCUGGAAGGCACUUAAUAGGCAUGAUCCCAUUUGAAUCCCACAAUAAUCUUUGAAGGAAUAAAUGCAAGGAUUGUUUUCCCCAUUUGCCAGAUGAGGAACUUGUUUCUCGGAGAAUGUAAUGAAUUACCCAGGCUCUCACAGCUUGACUCUCCCCGACCUACUCAUUCUUCCCUGGACUUCCUAAUACCAUGCCCAGUGUCCUAGCUCCUACUCCAUACUAGUUCUCCCUCACCUGGAGGCUGUUGAGUGGCUGCUGUUAAAUAUAUAAAAUACAUUGAUAUUAUUGGAGGCACCAGGGAGAUUUUUAGAGUUUUCUAGUUUUCUUUUAGAAAUUAACCUGUUCGGUUUUAAAAUGUACAUGUUUAGUCUAAGUUAUCAAUUCUAAAAAUUAACAGUGUUCCCUUAAAAAAAUCACCCCAUGUUAUUACCUGUGGUCCCUUAUUAUCCAAUUUUAUGGACAAGUGAUCAGGAAAAAAAAUAAGUUUAAGUAACCAAUUUUGAAAAGUUGUGAUUUAUCCUAGUGAAACCAUGUAACUCCUGCCUUAUUCCCACAUGUUUAACACUUUCAUCUGGCCCAUCAAAGAAUAAGCAUGAAAUCACAUGCCACAUUUUAUGUUUUUUAAUUUCCUGAUUCGUCUCUUUGUUCCUAAUGGAUUGGAAACAUUCUUCUGGCUUGUUUUUAUUUAGAUGGUAAUUUUCAGUGUUCUUUAGGCAAGCUGUUUCCCAAGCCUUCCUGUUAUAAAGGUCUCCUCUGUUUAUGAGAAUGCCAAAUGAUGUCAACAUCUGCAGAGGGGCCCUGGUGUACACUUAGCUGCUUAGGUUUGAAGGAUUCAAAGACCUUGAAAACCUGCUAAGUGUAAAGAAAGGAGGGGCGGGAGAACAGGAGGUGGGCCCUGGCUUUUUGUUUGCAAACAACGCACAUGUGGAGUAAAAGCUGUGAAAGGAAUGUCUCUUGAUGCACAGCCAAACCUGAAUGCGAAUGUAAACUUGGAGUAAUUAGGCUGCCUGUGUGUAUCUAUGAGUUUGCUCCUCACUCUUGUAGACUUCUGCUCACCAAGCUAAACUUGAUGACUUCUCUCUGAGCUUUUUAGCUUAGACUGCCCAAUGAUUAGGUAAUGUCAGCUACAGCACUGCCUACCCUUAAUGGAAGAUAGGUAGGUAGGUAAGUAGGAAGGAAGGAAGGAAGGAAGGAAGGAAGGAAGGAAGGAAGGAAGGAAAGGGAAGGAAGAAAGAAGGGGAAGAGGAAGGGGAGGGAGGGAAAGAAAAAGAAAGAAAGGAAGGAAGAAGGAAGGAAGGAAGGAAGGAAGGAAGGAAGGAAGGAAGGAAGAAAAGGUGAAAGAAAGGAAGGCAGAAAGAUGAAAAAGGAAAGAAGAAGAGAAGCAAGCAAAGGAACAAGGAAAAAAGGAA